rnacentral:rRNA from 1 species
AUACGGAGGAUGCAAGCGUUAUCCGGAUUUAUUGGGUUUAAAGGGUGCGUAGGCGGUUUGCUAAGCGGGAGGUGAAAUGCCGGCGCUCAACGUCGGAAGUGCCUCCCGAACUGGUGGACUUGAAUGACUCUGCCGUGGGAGGAAUGUGUAGUGUAGCGGGGAAAUGCUUAGAGAUUACACAGAACACCGAUUGCGAAGGCAUCUCACGAAGGGUUGAUUGACGCUGAGGCACGAAAGCGUGGGGAUCAAACAGGAUUAGAUACCCUGGUAGUCCACGCAGUAAACGAUGAUGGCUAACCGCUGGGCUUAUCAGUUCAGUGGCCAAGCGAAAGCGAUAAGCCAUCCACCUGGGGAGUACGACCGCAAGGUUGAAACUCAAAGGAAUUGGCGGGG